CUCCUCCGCCCGCUGCCCACAGAGGAACCCGAAGGUUCAUUUUUUUGGAGACGACCGCCCAACACCCGCUCUCCUUCCGACUGUGCCCGUCGUCGUCGACCACAAAGCUAGACCUCUAGGACAGAAACCCCCCUAUACCAACGCAUAUCUGCCAACGGAAUAAUAGCAUGUGUUGUUUGUUUAACUUCCCACCUCGCGCACUCCUCCCCGUUCCUUGGAAAAAGAGCUAUAACCUCCCUGUACCCACCUUCCCCGCCUAUACCUCGUCCAUCAAAUACGACGGGGAAACGAAAAUCUUCUAUCUGCCAUAUCUCCCCCCGAUUCAUCUCUCUCUCACCCAACUGCCAAGACCAUGAUGUUGCCGCCGCCAUGUCCAAUUCCGACUAGAUCCAGUGCCGUCCCGCGUCGUCGCUCAAGGACCCCGGAUCCCCCUCGGUGCUAUCCUCCAAUCUUCCGUUGCGGCGACGUCCUCCACGCCCUGCAGGCGCCCCGCAGCAACCAUAGUCGCCAUGGGUCACGAGGCUGCUCCAUCGCCUGUGGUUUGUAGGCGCAAUACCAUGCGUCUCCAUUGCGCUGCUGCAGGCUGGGGAAUGAUGGUGCUGCUCUGCCCCGGCUACCUUGUGUCGACCACUAAUCUGAACUCUAGUGCAGAACAGAAUACAACCCAAAGGUAUGAUUCAUCUGCUGAUGCUUCCCUCCCUCUGUUUCCAAGCCAAAUUUUGCAUUGAACCUCUGAUGAAAUCUGUUGAUAACAACGUCUCUGUUUUGGAGGAACUCCAAGUCGCCUCGACAUGGCCUUCUGGUUGUCAUACCCAUGAAAUCUGCGAGCUUUGGAAAUCAGUUCGACAGAGUUGUACUACUCCAUGACGAAGAUCUUCAGGGAAAGAUGCAUUUGUACAGCUUACUACAGCAUUGGAGAAAGUGGGGCAAUCCGUUCUCUUCCUUAUACACCUUCCCCUGGUUCAGAAGGCCACUAAGGUUUCAGUUUCGUAAUCUUCUGCUCAUGAUGUAGCAUUCUAAUUUAUUUUGUAUCCUUAAUUUUUACACUAACUGGUCCAUCUAGUCUUUGUUAGUUCAGUCUGCAAAUAUAUGUCUGUUUAUACAGUCUUAAAUUUUGUCCAGUCCCAUAUUUCGUGCAUUCAUAUAGGUAUCGUUUAUCAGUUAUUCAUUGACAUGAAAAUGAUACAUGAUUAGGAAGCUCCGUGGUGACAUAGAUCAAAUUAUCUUGAUAUAUGAUAUGUAAAACUGGGUACAUUCUGACCAAAAAUUGUUCAGCCCUUACAUAUGGCUGGUUUUAUUCGAACUGUUCAGACAUUACAUAGGUUACCUUUGAUGCAUUUUCUUAAAUAUGUAUUCAACUUUUGUACUAGGUUGGUCUUGAAGAAUUAAAUAGUGGCGCAUUAAUUUAUUUUUAUUUUUCUGUAAACAUCCUGGAUCCUAUUUUCUCUAGAAACAAAACUCCCCUAGUUUUCCUAGAGAAGCCCAGAACAAUUCACACCCCCAUCUUUGGCGUCCGCGUCUAGGGCCGAGGCUCAUCCCUUCUAAAUCUCCGCUGGUGGCUCAUGUCCUCAUCUCAGAUCGGGGUGAUGCUGUGAUCAGACAGAAACCCGACUUCCCAUAGCUGCUCAGUAUGGCCGAGUCAGGGGCUCAAGCCAGGUGUGAUGACGGGCAAACAUGGAUUAGAAAGUUGUCCCACAACUCCCCUUUUCUAUUUCUUAGUUCAAUAUGCACGUCUUUUUUUUUCUAUGGGUUGAUAACUCCAGCUGUCCCAAAUUUGAUGAUGCUUUUCUUUCCCAUGUUUCUUCUGCAGGUUCUGAGAUAGUUAGUCAACGAUUAAAAAACCCUAAUGUGUGACAUUGUAGUUCUCAUGAUGUAAAUUAUUUAGAUUUUCAAGCUGUUGGCAUUGAUACUUUUUCUCCUCUAAUACACCAUACCAAGGGUGAGUAGUUCAUGAGUAAUGGUGACAGGAUUUUUUUUAAUGCAGAGACCUUUAGAAAUUGGAAAUGUCCAAUUAUGUAUAGUCGAUGUUAUUGAUACCUACUUACCAUUUAGUUGGUUGCUGAAUUCAUCUCAGUGUUAAUACAAUCUUUGGAUAAUUGUUAGUAGUAAAUACAUGCUGAUGGUUGUUCAUAGUGAACACGCACAUCUGAUUGAUCAAAGAUGAUCGGUGUCUUACUAUGUACUCCUACUAAGUUAUCUAUAAGACACACAUGAGCAUAUGUCUUUUCUCCCACCGAUCUUUUCUUGGACACUUGGUAAUUUUUCUAUAGAUCCUUUUUAGUACAAUGCAUAGCAUGUAUAUUUUUAAACUUAAAAUCUUGAAUUUAUGACUAAAUAGUAUUAUGGUUUUUUGGUAGGUUGAGAAGUUCAAUACUAGAUGAUUAAUAGGAUCUUUGUCCUUGGAGAAUAUAUGCUGAUGCUUGGUACUUGCAGGAGAAUAGAAGUUCUAUGAAUGUUUAGAAUUUUAUAUCAUGUAAAAUGUUUUAUCUUCUAAGUAAGUGAUGUACUCCUAAUUGAUGGUUCUGGCAUUGCAAUGUAAAGAUUGUACAAUUGAAUCAAUAUACCAGUUUCAUUUCCACUCCAUCAAUUUUACUAAAGUUGUCUACUACAGUUCGAAAAAAAGUUGUACCAUGUACCACUAUUCUGACUAUACACACUAUUAUUAAUAAUUAUAUAUCGAGGUUAUUCUAGUGUGCAAACACCAACGGAUAGAAGUGUUGGAUGAAUCUGUUGUUGCCUUGCAACACAUUAUUCUUCAUAUUACCAACGGAUCUAUUGGUGUUACAAUCUGUUGUUGCCUUGCAACGCCACCAACAACAACUUAUAAUAAUCUGUUGGCGUUGACCUUAGCAACACUAAUAUGGACAAACGACAACACAUCGGUGCGUUGCUAAAGGGGGGUUCUUGUUGUAGGACGUCAUAGACCAGAGCACUGGGAAGCACAGGUGCCCUUUCCCACUUCCAAGGUGGAGCACUACGCGGCUGCACCAAGGAGCCCGCAAGAGUUCAUCUCGUCGGAGCACUACGCGGCUGCACCAAGGAGCCCGCCGGAGUUCAUCUUGCCGGAGCACUACGCGGCUGCACCAAGGAGCCCGCCGGAGUACAAAGGUCUCCUUUUCCCCCUUCUACUCCCUUCGCUCUCUUGCAAUUUAUUCUUCAUCUUCAUCGAUUGGUCUACUGGAAAUAGAACAGAGAUAAACGGAGCGAUUGUUAUAACAAAAAGCCACUGUCUUUGAGUAAAUUCAGACCUUUGAUGUUUGAGCCUUUGAUUUUUGAUGUUUGAGCCUCUGAUGUACUGAUAGAUGUUCAAGACAAUAGACAAUUAACAAAUGUUGGAUUACUUGGGUAGCACAGAUUUGGAUUGAAUGUAUUGACAGAGUUCUGAUAAUUUAGA